CUGCUCUGUAUGAUGACUGACUAAAUUACUUAUAUAUCUAAUCUUAUCUAGUUAUCUGUCUGUCUGUUUUUCAGCAUUUCAGUACCCAUCACCAUAUUAUCUAGGCGCCACCAUGAGAUUAAGAAGCUCUGCCGUGACAUUCUCAGCAUGAUCUGUUCAAAGGUCAUUAGCAGAGCCUUUCGUACUGGAAAAGAUUGCAGGACAGUACUGAAGUGAGCCGCAGAAGGAGAGAAAAAGGAAAAGGAGGCGAAAAGUUAUUUCACCAGCUUUUGCCAAUGGUACUGUGGUCACUGCUCAAGGGGAAAUUUCCCUCUAUGGCUGCUUACUCACAGGAGUAAGUCACUAAACCUGAUCCCACCGUGACUGCUCCUGUUCGCACGGAAUCAGUGGCUGUGAAGGGAUGACUCAGAGGGCAGAACGGGAUAUAAUGGGCCACACAUGGGCAUUCCAGAAGAGUGUGUUCUCUCCAGUGCUAAUUAAUUUUCUGCUCUGCAAAAUACUUAACAACACAAAACACUGACGGCAAAGUCCCACCACAAGCUCUACCAAGUCGCUUUAGAAAAGAAGCUCAAGACACCUUGGUAGAAGACAGCCGAGACGUACCAAGUACUGCUUUCAGUCAACAGAAUCUUAUUUGUAAUGGGAAACUAUAUCAAUAUUUGGAGCUGAGCCACUGUUUGGACAGGGAUUUUCCAAUUCCCCCACUGUGAUUAGAAAAGGUAUUUGGAAUCUUUUGUCUACUUUAGUGCUUGGAGUUUUUUCAGAUUAAUUUCCAAACUAUUUUUUUCCAGCCUAUUUUUCAGAUUCAUUUCCAAACGAUUUUUUUGCAGCCUAUUUUUUUUAGGUAAUGUUUUAAUUACAGGGGCUUUUUCAUAUGCUUGUUUAUAAAGUGGGGUACUUAAUGACCUCCAAGCAUUUACUAGUGCUACAAAGCUCCUAAAAUGUAAGUUAUGUGGGUAAUACAAGAUUAAGAAUGCAGGGUUAGGGAAUUCUAACUCUUUCACAGAUUCCUUCUGAGACUAGUGUAAAAUUGGAGCAUUUACAUCCUUAAUUUUCCUGUCCGUAACUGCAUCUUUCUGACAAAAACUCAUUGCUGCACAAGUUUCCUUCUGAACAAAAAGUCUGUAAUCCUAAUUAAGAGAUACAUUGGAAUACAUCAGUAGUUUAAACAUCAUUCUUCAAAUUGCAGCAACACUGCACUGGAUCUCCUGAACUGUGGCAGGCAAAGUUUAAGGACGGGGAUUAGCUCACUCAUGCCCGAUAGAGCUCUAUCUCCAAAACUGGACUAUUAUUUAAACAAAUAUAAAUACCUUUAGUACAUCUUAUCUUUCAAUCUACCCCGACUUCCAGCCCCCACAAACUGAAUUUUGUUGCAAGCUUUGUCAUUUAUAAAGAAAUAAAGAAAGAAAUGUAUCUGAGGACA
rnacentral:lncRNA from 1 species